UCCAGAGCUUUUGUUAACAAAGUUGCACUUCUUGUUAAAUGAUAUGAUGAUAAUAGACCACCAAGAACCCUGAUGGU
rnacentral:snoRNA from 1 species